AACGAACGCUGGCGGCAGGCCUAACACAUGCAAGUCGAGCGAGGACUUCGGUUCUAGCGGCGGACGGGUGAGUAACGCGUGGGAAUGUGCCCUUCUCUACGGAAUAGCCCUGGGAAACUGGGAGUAAUACCGUAUACGCCCUAUUGGGGAAAGAUUUAUCGGAGAAGGAUCAGCCCGCGUUGGAUUAGGUAGUUGGUGGGGUAAUGGCCUACCAAGCCGACGAUCCAUAGCUGGUUUGAGAGGAUGAUCAGCCACACUGGGACUGAGACACGGCCCAGACUCCUACGGGAGGGAGGCAGGGGGGAUCUUAGAACAUGGGGGCAACCCUGAAUGCGCCAUGGCGGGUGAGUGAUGAAGGCCUUAGGGUUGUAAAGCUCUUUCAGCUGGGAAGAUAAUGACGGUACCAGAAGAAGAAGCCCCGGCUAACUACGUG
rnacentral:rRNA from 1 species